GUGCUCUCUCCAGCAGCACACAAAUACUAACAUUGGACCGAUACAGAAAGAAUUUGCAUGGCACCUGUGCAAGGAUGACAUGGAAAUUCAUGAAGUGUUCCAUUUUUUC